rnacentral:lncRNA from 1 species
CUUAUUCCAAUUUGAAACAAACAAUGACAAUAAAUAGCACUUUUUUGUCAUGUAAAUAAUGUAUUCUGAUUAGAUAAGUAACUUAAUUAAAAGCCUUCCAAAUUGAAAUUUAAUUGGGGAAUGUUGUGAUAAGAUCAAUUUGGGUCUAUCCACCACUGGAACAAAACAAAAUUAUCAUUUAUUGGGAUGCCAAUUUGGACCACAUCAUUACAAAACAUCAUACCUCAUGAUCAAGAGCUAUUCCUAGAUUCAUGGAGAUGUAAUGCCAAAAAACAUUAAUUUUGAGACUGAAAUCUGAUCAAAAACUUAUAUCUAUACAUACAUACAAAUGUAUCACCAUUUGCUAUUAAAC